rnacentral:rRNA from 1 species
GGUUAAGCGACUAAGCGUACACGGUGGAUGCCCUGGCAGUCAGAGGCGAUGAAGGACGUGCUAAUCUGCGAUAAGCGUCGGUAAGGUGAUAUGAACCGUUAUAACCGGCGAUUUCCGAAUGGGGAAACCCAGUGUGUUUCGACACACUAUCAUUAACUGAAUCCAUAGGUUAAUGAGGCGAACCGGGGGAACUGAAACAUCUAAGUACCCCGAGGAAAAGAAAUCAACCGAGAUUCCCCCAGUAGCGGCGAGCGAACGGGGAGCAGCCCAGAGCCUGAAUCAGUGUGUGUGUUAGUGGAAGCGUCUGGAAAGGCGCGCGAUACAGGGUGACAGCCCCGUACACAAAAAUGCACAUGCUGUGAGCUCGAUGAGUAGGGCGGGACACGUGGUAUCCUGUCUGAAUAUGGGGGGACCAUCCUCCAAGGCUAAAUACUCCUGACUGACCGAUAGUGAACCAGUACCGUGAGGGAAAGGCGAAAAGAACCCCGGCGAGGGGAGUGAAAAAGAACCUGAAACCGUGUACGUACAAGCAGUGGGAGCACGCUUAGGCGUGUGACUGCGUACCUUUUGUAUAAUGGGUCAGCGACUUAUAUUCUGUAGCAAGGUUAACCGAAUAGGGGAGCCGAAGGGAAACCGAGUCUUAACUGGGCGUUAAGUUGCAGGGUAUAGACCCGAAACCCGGUGAUCUAGCCAUGGGCAGGUUGAAGGUUGGGUAACACUAACUGGAGGACCGAACCGACUAAUGUUGAAAAAUUAGCGGAUGACUUGUGGCUGGGGGUGAAAGGCCAAUCAAACCGGGAGAUAGCUGGUUCUCCCCGAAAGCUAUUUAGGUAGCGCCUCGUGAAUUCAUCUCCGGGGGUAGAGCACUGUUUCGGCAAGGGGGUCAUCCCGACUUACCAACCCGAUGCAAACUGCGAAUACCGGAGAAUGUUAUCACGGGAGACACACGGCGGGUGCUAACGUCCGUCGUGAAGAGGGAAACAACCCAGACCGCCAGCUAAGGUCCCAAAGUCAUGGUUAAGUGGGAAACGAUGUGGGAAGGCCCAGACAGCCAGGAUGUUGGCUUAGAAGCAGCCAUCAUUUAAAGAAAGCGUAAUAGCUCACUGGUCGAGUCGGCCUGCGCGGAAGAUGUAACGGGGCUAAACCAUGCACCGAAGCUGCGGCAGCGACGCUGAUGCGUUGUUGGGUAGGGGAGCGUUCUGUAAGCCUGCGAAGGUGUGCUGUGAGGCAUGCUGGAGGUAUCAGAAGUGCGAAUGCUGACAUAAGUAACGAUAAAGCGGGUGAAAAGCCCGCUCGCCGGAAGACCAAGGGUUCCUGUCCAACGUUAAUCGGGGCAGGGUGAGUCGACCCCUAAGGCGAGGCCGAAAGGCGUAGUCGAUGGGAAACAGGUUAAUAUUCCUGUACUUGGUGUUACUGCGAAGGGGGGACGGAGAAGGCUAUGUUGGCCGGGCGACGGUUGUCCCGGUUUAAGCGUGUAGGCUGGUUUUCCAGGCAAAUCCGGAAAAUCAAGGCUGAGGCGUGAUGACGAGGCACUACGGUGCUGAAGCAACAAAUGCCCUGCUUCCAGGAAAAGCCUCUAAGCAUCAGGUAACAUCAAAUCGUACCCCAAACCGACACAGGUGGUCAGGUAGAGAAUACCAAGGCGCUUGAGAGAACUCGGGUGAAGGAACUAGGCAAAAUGGUGCCGUAACUUCGGGAGAAGGCACGCUGAUAUGUAGGUGAAGUCCCUCGCGGAUGGAGCUGAAAUCAGUCGAAGAUACCAGCUGGCUGCAACUGUUUAUUAAAAACACAGCACUGUGCAAACACGAAAGUGGACGUAUACGGUGUGACGCCUGCCCGGUGCCGGAAGGUUAAUUGAUGGGGUCAGCGCAAGCGAAGCUCUUGAUCGAAGCCCCGGUAAACGGCGGCCGUAACUAUAACGGUCCUAAGGUAGCGAAAUUCCUUGUCGGGUAAGUUCCGACCUGCACGAAUGGCGUAAUGAUGGCCAGGCUGUCUCCACCCGAGACUCAGUGAAAUUGAACUCGCUGUGAAGAUGCAGUGUACCCGCGGCAAGACGGAAAGACCCCGUGAACCUUUACUAUAGCUUGACACUGAACAUUGAGCCUUGAUGUGUAGGAUAGGUGGGAGGCUUUGAAGUGUGGACGCCAGUCUGCAUGGAGCCGACCUUGAAAUACCACCCUUUAAUGUUUGAUGUUCUAACGUGGACCCGUAAUCCGGGUUGCGGACAGUGUCUGGUGGGUAGUUUGACUGGGGCGGUCUCCUCCUAAAGAGUAACGGAGGAGCACGAAGGUUGGCUAAUCCUGGUCGGACAUCAGGAGGUUAGUGCAAUGGCAUAAGCCAGCUUGACUGCGAGCGUGACGGCGCGAGCAGGUGCGAAAGCAGGUCAUAGUGAUCCGGUGGUUCUGAAUGGAAGGGCCAUCGCUCAACGGAUAAAAGGUACUCCGGGGAUAACAGGCUGAUACCGCCCAAGAGUUCAUAUCGACGGCGGUGUUUGGCACCUCGAUGUCGGCUCAUCACAUCCUGGGGCUGAAGUAGGUCCCAAGGGUAUGGCUGUUCGCCAUUUAAAGUGGUACGCGAGCUGGGUUUAGAACGUCGUGAGACAGUUCGGUCCCUAUCUGCCGUGGGCGCUGGAGAACUGAGGGGGGCUGCUCCUAGUACGAGAGGACCGGAGUGGACGCAUCACUGGUGUUCGGGUUGUCAUGCCAAUGGCACUGCCCGGUAGCUAAAUGCGGAAGAGAUAAGUGCUGAAAGCAUCUAAGCACGAAACUUGCCCCGAGAUGAGUUCUCCCUGACUCCUUGAGAGUCCUGAAGGAACGUUGAAGACGACGACGUUGAUAGGCCGGGUGUGUAAGCGCAGCGAUGCGUUGAGCUAACCGGUACUAAUGAACCGUGAGG